GGGAGGGGAGCCGCUCCCGGAAGUGACGCCACACCACGGCGCCGCCCCCGGAGGCUCGCACGACAGUUGUUGGUCUAUGUCUGUCUCUGCAGUAGCCAGAACAAAUCUAAUUUCCUCGCGGGGAAUCGAUGGUUUUUCACAGACUUUAUUAUUAUUAAAAGUGACUUUCUGAGAAAUGGAGCUGCGAGAUCCAGUUUGCCAACUAGGCGACACAAAGACUUCAAUUCCCAGGAGGCACUGUGGUGGCCUUUGCCCUAACAGAAAUUAGAUGUGCAGUGUCUCUUGACUUCAACCCUAUGCGGCCACAAGCUGGAGCUCCACCAGCGGUGCUGUCGUACGACCCCCCUGAUGAGGGAGGGCAGCUGAUAAUUACACUGAAGCAGCUUGUUUCUCUUCAGCUGGAGUCCUAAAGCAUUGCAGAGCGUCAGUGGGAACACGGAUCACCAGCCUCCACAUGGUUCCUGGACAGCACAGACCACUCGUACGAAUUCCUGCUGCAGAAGGAUCGCAGACCCAGACAAGGCCCUCAGAGACUGCCUGGAUGACAAGACAGCAACAUGGCCUCAGGUGGCAGCAUAGACUACCCACAUCAAUAUGGCCUCUGGCAACAGCAUAACCUAUGGACAUUGAUGUGGCUGUAGACAUCAAUAUGCCCCCCACUCAGCAGUAGCAGCAGCAGAGCCCAAGGAUACUGACAUGCCUUCAGGCAGCAGCACAGACCAUGGGCAUCUGCAUAACCUUUGGUGGUAAUUCGGACCAUUGGCAUCAACACUGAUGCUGGCAGCAGUAGGACCACGGACACGGACAUGGCCCACAGAGGUGGCUUGUAACUAGGACAUCACCAUGACCUCAGGUAGCAGUGCUGGCUACUCAGAUUAGUAUGAUUCCCAGCAGCAUGUCUGAGUAUUUGCUUUCACCAUUUAGGGAAAAUGCUGUGUCCCAAACUCCAGUUCUCACCAGACUUCUUAAUAAUGUAAAAUACCACACAGUUUAAACCUCAAGAACCACUAUCAAUUGUCCAAACUCAUAUGUUAGAAACAAUUACCAAGGCCUUCAGUCAUUUUCCUUUUCCCAUUUACUGCUACAUGGACCAUGUAAAUCACACUGCAAAUGUAGCUUUUAGCUCUUGGAAUCUUAUCACAGUGGCAACGUCCACAGUUUAGAGCGGGAAAAUUCACUAAACAUGCAGUAACACCUUCUGUCUAUGUAUUCAUAUACCCAGUUACAUCAACUCAUUAAUCUGUUUUGCCCAUCUACUCACCCAUUUCUCACCAAUCUACGCACAGUACUUCUUUUUACUAAACUUUUUAUUGCUAUGACCAAAUACCCGCGAGAACAACUUAAAGAAGGAAGGGUUUUCUUUGGCUCGUGUUUCCAAGGGUUUCUGUCCAUGGCCACCUGCAUCCAUUGCUUUCAGGCAGGUGGACAUUCAGGAUGUGAAGGGAUGUCACAGGGGAGGGAUGCUGUUCUCCUCUCUUGGCAACCGAGAAGCAAAGGGGAAAGACAAAAGAGGCCAGGACAUGAUGUAUUCUCUAAGGACAUGCCCUGGGUGACACAUUCCUCCAGGUAGGUUACCACACACUCCCAAGAUAGCUCCUCCAGCUGGGGACUACACUUCCUUAGUACCCCCUGCAGUCAAACCCCAACAUGCUAUUGCUUUCUGUAUAUGUAUGUUAUCAACUAUGCUUCUUUCCCAGAAAAACAAAACCUCAGUAGAUUGAAAUUUAGGAUUAAGUCCUCAAAAUCAAGCAGCCUUUGACGGGUGCUGUUUUGGUCAAAGCUUUGGUCUACCACCGGGGUUCAAUCUUCUAGUACAUAGCGGACUUGCCUUUCCAGUCCUUUCCAGUAAUGCUGAUCUCAUCUCGUGCUCCCUCCAGUCCCCUCCUUUCGUCUUAGCAGUCUUUUCACACCUGAUGCAGGGCUUUGCUUUCUCUCUAAAUAAAAAGUCUUUGUGAGCAGCAGGGUACCUAGCUACCCAGCUUCUUGCCUGCUCCCUGCUCUGCAUCCUUGCUGCUCAUCUUUUCCCCAAAGCUCUUCGUUACAAUUUCUAGAGCUGUCAUUUACGUGCAUGCGCUCAUGCAGGGGCUAUAAAAUAAACUCGAGGUAAUAAACCAGUGCUAGUAAAUCAACCUCAUCAGUCUAACUCAGAUUCCUUCUGUAUUCUCAUGAAGAAAAGCCUCGCUCUAGCCAAUUCCUCAAAAUCUUUCAUCAGCUCCAUACUAAAGAGUGAAGGACAAAUGUUGUGCCAGGACAACAGAGACCCUUUAAUCCAUCUUGUCCAUUUUAUCUCUAGCUCCUCUCUUACCCAACACAUUAUCCAAAUAAGCUUGUUCAUUAUUCGCUGACAGCCAAGGGCAUGGGACGAGGGCCAGACUGCCUGUUUUACUUUUGCUCUCUCACCCCUUGAUGUGUUCCUUGGGUAAGUUAAUUAAUUUACCCAAUCUGACCAAUUGUUGCUACUGAAAAACAACUAGUAGUAAUAGUCUUCUUCAAAAUAUUUGAGGAAGUAAAAGUAUUACUCCAUGUAAAAUUGUAGAGAGUUGUGUAUGACAAGUGAUCAAAAAUUAA